AUGGAGAAGAACAACAUGCUGUCUCAGGAGCUGGAAAAGUGUUGGACCCAGCUAACUACUGUUACCGCUGAACGGGAGAAGUCCAAGGAGGCACCGACUGGAUCGUCGGAUCAGCUGGAAGAGAAACUGAAGGCCCCGCAGGCGGAUAAACAACAUGCCGAAAGGCAAGAGACCGCUGGUCAACGUGUACUGACACGGACCAGGGAUGAGAAGAACAAGCUGCAGGACGCCAACACCCAGCUAGGCGAAGAGCUGAAAGACGUGCGAGCCCAACUGGCGGACGCCUUGAAGGAGAACCGAAAGCUGAGAGGCGGCAUAUUCAGUAUGCCUUUUGACUUACUUUCGUACAGUUUGCUAAGGCGAGUCUUAACAAGUAUAUUUUUGUAG
rnacentral:rRNA from 1 species